GUGCUUGCUUCAGCAACACAUACACUAAAAUUGGAACGAUAAAGAGAAGAUAAGCAUGGCUCUUUCACAAGGAUGACACACAAAUUCAUGAAGUGUUCCAUAUUUUU
ensembl:snRNA U6 U6 spliceosomal RNA